GAUGAACGCUGGCGGCGUGCCUAAUACAUGCAAGUCGAGCGAAGCGGGGACGCGUGAGUAACACGUCGAUAACCUCCUAUAAGACUGGGAUUACUUCGUGGAACCGGAGCUUAACCCGAUACUGAUCGCUGCAUCCUGGCUGCAUUAGCUAGUUGUUAAGGUAACGGCUUACCAAGGCAACGAUUCAUAGCCGACCUGAGAGGGUGAUCGGCCACACUGGAACUGAGACACGGUCCAGACUCCUACGGGAGGCAGCAGUGGGGAAUCUUCCGCAAUGGGCGAAAGCCUGACGGAGCCACGCCGCGUGAAUGAUGAAGGCCUUCGGAUCGUAAAACUCUGUUAUCAGGGAAGCGGUACCUGAUCAGAAAGCAACGGCUAACUACGUGCCAGCAGCCGCGGUAAUUC
rnacentral:rRNA from 1 species